CAAACACUCCCUCCGUCCAACAAAAGAUGUCUCAAGUUUGUCAAAAUUUGAAUGUAUCUAGACAUGACUUAGUGUAUAGAUGCAUUCAAAUUUAGUCAAAAUCAAGACAUCUUUUGUUAGACGGAGGAAGUACUUG
rfam:Brachypodium distachyon strain Bd21 chromosome 1, whole genome shotgun sequence.